rnacentral:rRNA from 1 species
AACCUUUACAAUGCACGAAAGUGUGAUAAGGGAACUCAAAGUGCUUAGCUAUGCUAGGCUUUUGCCGAGAGUAAAUAUCUCGGAGAAUAAGUGGUGGGCAAGACUGGUGCCAGCCGCCGCGGUAACACCAGCUCCACAAGUGGCAAUCGUAUUUAUUUGGCCUAAAGCGUCCGUAGCCGGCCGAGUAAGUUUCCCGUUAAAUCCAGCGUCUCAAGCGUUGGACUGCGGGAAAUACUGCCCGGCUAGAGAGUGGGAGAGGUAGGC